rnacentral:rRNA from 1 species
GGGACAUGUACGUUGAGCCGAGCCUUCGGGCAAAGCGAAGAUAUAAAAUCCCUUCCUAUAAAAGCUCCAACAUUAAGCCCGUACCGCAAACCGACACAGGUAGUCAAGAUGAGUAUUCUAAGGAGCUCGAGUGAAUCACGGUUAAGGAACUCGGCAAAUUAACCCUGUAACUUCGGGAAAAGGGGUGCCUCGAGCAAUCGAGGCCGCAGAGAAAUGGCCCAGGCGACUGUUUAUCAAAAACACAUGGCUUUGCAAAAUCGAAAGAUGAAGUAUAAGGCCUGACACCUGCCCGGUGCCGGAAGGUUAAGAGGGGAUGUUAGCAGCAAUGCGAAGCAUUGAAUCGAAGCCCCGGUAAACGGCGGCCGUAACGAUAACGGUCCUAAGGUAGCGAAAUUCCUUGUCGGGUAAGUUCCGACCUGCACGAAUGGUGUAACGAUCUGGGCACUGUCUCAACCGUGAGCUCGGUGAAAUUGUGGUAUCGGUGAAGACGCCGGUUACCCGCUACGGGACGGAAAGACCCCAUGCACCUUUACUAUAGCUUUACAUUGACUUUGGGUAAAUAAUGUGUAGGAUAGGUGGGAGACUAUGAAGCAGGUGCGCUAGCAUUUGUGGAGUCAACGGUGAAAUACCACCCUUUAUUUAUUUGGAGUCUAACCCCGCUAAGCGGGGGACAUUGUAUGGUGGGUAGUUUGACUGGGGUGGUCGCCUCCAAAAAAAGUAUCGGAGGCUUCUAAAGGUUCGCUCAGUACGGUUGGUAACCGUACGCAGAGUGCAAUAGCAUAAGCGAGCUUGACUGUGAGGCCUACAAGCCGAGCAGGUACGAAAGUAGAGUAUAGUGAUCCGGUGGUUCUGAAUGGAAGAGCCAUCGCUCAUAGGAUAAAAGGUACGCUGGGGAUAACAGGCUGAUCUCCCCCAAGAGCUCAUAUCGACGGGGAGGUUUGGCACCUCGAUGUCGGCUCGUCACAUCCUGGGGCUGGAGAAGGUCCCAAGGGUUCGGCUGUUCGCCGAUUAAAGUGGCACGCGAGCUGGGUUCAGAACGUCGUGAGACAGUUCGGUCCCUAUCUGUAGUGGGCGUUAGAAAAUUGAGAAGAUCUGACUUUAGUACGAGAGGACCGGGUCGGACGUACCUCUGGUGUAUCUGUUGUUGUGCCAACGGCAUUGCAGAGUAGCUACGUACGGACAAGAUAAGCGCUGAAAGCAUCUAAGCGCGAAACUUACUUCAAGAUGAGUUUUCUUUAUAAGGGUCGUGGAAGACUACCACGUUGAUAGGCUGUAGAUGUAAAGGCAGUAAUGUCAAAGUCGAGCAGUACUAAUUACCC